rnacentral:rRNA from 1 species
GACGAACGCUGGCGGCGUGCUUAACACAUGCAAGUCGAACGGAAAGGCUCCAGCUUGCUGGAGUACUCGAGUGGCGAACGGGUGAGUAACACGUGGGUAAUCUGCCCUGCACUCUGGGAUAAGCCUGGGAAACUGGGUCUAAUACUGGAUAUGACCUUUCUCCUUAUGGGGUUUGGUGGAAAGUUUUUCGGUGUAGGAUGAGCCCGCGGCCUAUCAGCUUGUUGGUGGGGUGAUGGCCUACCAAGGCGACGACGGGUAGCCGGCCUGAGAGGGUGAACGGCCACAUUGGGACUGAGAUACGGCCCAGACUCCUACGGGAGGCAGCAGUGGGGAAUAUUGCACAAUGGGCGGAAGCCUGAUGCAGCGACGCCGCGUGAGGGAUGACGGCCUUCGGGUUGUAAACCUCUUUCAGCAGGGACGAAGCGUAAGUGACGGUACCUGCAGAAGAAGCACCGGCUAACUAUGUG